rnacentral:rRNA from 1 species
UACGAAGGGGGCUAGCGUUGCUCAGAAUCACUGGGCGUAAAGCGCACGUAGGCGGCUUCUUAAGUCAGGGGUGAAAUCCUGGAGCUCAACUCCAGAACUGCCUUUGAUACUGAGAAGCUUGAGUCCGGGAGAGGUGAGUGGAACUGCGAGUGUAGAGGUGAAAUUCGUAGAUAUUCGCAAGAACACCAGUAGCGAAGGCGGCUCACUGGCCCGGUACUGACGCUGAGGUGCGAAAGCGUGGGGAGCAAACGGG